AGUGAACGCUGGCGGUAGGCCUAACACAUGCAAGUCGAACGGCAGCACAGGAGAGCUUGCUCUCUGGGUGGCGAGUGGCGGACGGGUGAGGAAUACAUCGGAAUCUACUCUGUCGUGGGGGAUAACGUAGGGAAACUUACGCUAAUACCGCAUGCGACCUACGGGUGAAAGCAGGGGACCUUCGGGCCUUGCGCGAUUGAAUGAGCCGAUGUCGGAUUAGCUAGUUGGCGGGGGAAAGGCCCACCAAGGCGACGAUCCGUAGCUGGUCUGAGAGGAUGAUCAGCCACACUGGAACUGAGACACGGUCCAGAAUCCUACGGGAGGCAGCAGUGGGGAAUAUUGGACAAUGGGCGCAAGCCUGAUCCAGCCAUACCGCGUGGGUGAAUAAGGCCUUCGGGUUGUAAAGCCCUUUUGUUGGGAAAGAAAUCCAGCUGGCUAAUACCCGGUUGGGAUGACGGUACCCAAAGAAUAAGCACCGGCUAACUUCGUGCCAGCCGCCGCCGUAA
rnacentral:rRNA from 1 species